UCGAAUUACGUAUGAUCCAUUUUGUUCUAUCAAAAUAAAUAAGGUAGAUAGGUCGUGAUAGGUACCGCUGGUGUAUGAGAGAUUUUUGUCUUCAUCUAGGUUGCCAUCUUCUCAGUUAAGAAUUUUGUAAAAGACCGGACUGUGAAUGCCGGGAUACGAACCUGGUCUUGGACGUUCGUAACCAGCUGCUCUAACCACAGCUCUGCCGUCGUCCGGUCAAGGAUAGAGUCUUUGUGUACCAAGCCACGGGACAGAAACCAUUGGAAAGUUUUGCUGUCGAGUGCCGUUACAUAAAGAUCACAACGUUCGACAGAUUACGUUUCAUGUUUGUGUAAAGAUGCAUCUUGUAAAAGACGGGUUUAUAAAAGAAAGACACUUAUAAAAGAAAGACACUUUUCUAUAAUCUAAUAUCUUCGAAGUAACUUCUAAUCUUAGUUACACGAUAUCUUAUGCUGUUUCAACGUCCUAAUAAACACCCUAAGCAAAGGGUACACAAACCAUAGUACAAUCCUACGUAACAACAAAGGAAGGAUAAAGUCGAAGCGCGGUGUAUUAGCACGAUCGUAUUUAGGAGAAUUAAUCGAACCGAUCGUACGCUCGCAACUUAAAUCCUCCAUAAGCCUCGCUAUUCAGUCGAUGAAAACAGACAGCCGCUUUGUAAGCAAACGUUCUAACGCUAAUUGAACGUUGGAUCCGGCGUAUCGUGCACCGAUGUAUACAACCGAUGUUUCGCAAUGUGCCAGGCACUUUUAACCGAUGACGCUUGUAGAGCGGUUAGAUAACCGAAAGUACAUCAAAGUUGGCAUUCGCACGAGGGAUCGCUGCGCAGCGAUGAACCACACGGAUUCAGUUAUUCGUCGGCUGUGCCGAUGAUAGCUUUUCGACGAAUUAUCGCUUCGUAACCGCGAAUAAUCAUGGGCGAGGUGCAUUCGAUUUUCGAGACGGUCGACGGUUGGAUACGGAAGCUGAAAAGCUGCCAUAACGCGCCGAUCCCCAGGACCCAGAUUGCCGAAACGAAAAUCACGAUCGAAACGAACGAUACGAUUUUCGAUCACGAGAUAUGGAGGCAAGCUUUGCUGGUCGAGGCGCCUGCUCUUCGCAACCUGCUGUUCGGUGUGCCCGCCGAGAACAACAUCUUCGAGAUCGUUUGCACGAUCAAUCGCUUGCUCUUCUUUUACGUAAUCAUCAAAUGGAUCAAUUACGAAGCCUGGGUAUUGGCUGGCGCCGAACCCUUCGUUUUGAACCGGUGAAAGCUUGGCUAUUAGUAAACGACCAUGUCGACGUGUUCCUUCGUUCGAGUUGAUCCGUACGAUUGUCAACCGACAGUGCAGUGCCUCUGAGUGGCCUCGGGAAAAGAUUUCGACAGAAAAGGACGGAGAAAGCAUUCAUUCAAGAAUUAAUUGAAAUUUAUGGAGAGAAGACGCGAAUGAUUUUAUAAACAAAGUGAAAAGCUUUAUGUAAGAAGAAAGAAAUACUUGAUGAAAUAUAAUUUUUCCAUCGUCUUUUAUGUUUCCUGAAAGUCUUAGCGCUUUUCAUGUUCCUCCGGCGAACUAGCGUUUCUAAAGCUCUGCCAUUUUUCUUUCCUGUUGGUUCGAAUAAGUUACGAUUAGCUUUUACCUUUUUUUGGUAAUAUUCAAAUACUCUACAAAAAUUGUAAUUUUGACUAGAAAUUACAAAAAAUGUCUCGUAUAUUCAAUUUUCUUUUCCAAGUUACAAAAAGUGUUCCACGUAUGUUUUCCAUGUUAGCUCAAUUCUUAUUACAAGUAACAAAAGAUGUCUCGCAUAUGUUUCAAAAAAUUCUACGAAACCUGCAGUUUUGUAUCGAGAAACAUAGAAAUUAGCAGAAUUUUAUAUCGCACCAGAAUUCCAGCUCUAAGAAUCGAAGGGGCGAAUCUACGUUUCCGAUCAAAGUUAAAUAUUCACACUAAGAGCAGUAUAGUCGCAGGAAAUUUAUUAGUAACGAAAAGUAGCCACGAACAUACGACUGUAUUCGCUGGAAACGGCGUAGACUGACAAUUAGUUCGGAAAACUUUUGAAUAUCACGUUACACAAGCUCGCAAGUGUCGUUUGGUUCCUUCAGCUAAAUCCUCGUCUCUCCGUCUAACGUUUAGCUGGAAUUCGAAGGUACGCGUUUCAAGAAAAAGAGAGAGAGAGAGAGAGAGAGAGAGAAAGAAACAAGGAGUGGGCGCCAAUAUUUUCAAGAAUCAACAUACCAGCGAACGCUAAAAUUAAACCAGAGUUCUAUACCGAUUCACGGAAUGCGCGCCAAUAAUUAUCGUUCGAGCUUAUUCCCAACAACGCAGACAGCGUUUCAGGCAGUUGAAUUUUUAUAUCCGCUGUUAUCGUUAAUUACGCGAAAUGCCGGGGACAGAGGGCGGAAAUUGCGAAGGAUCUGGUGUCGAUGGUACGAAAUGAAAUUUAGCCGCGAUCGAACGCAAUUUAUUUCCAUGUCCAUGCUCUAAAUCCGUGGCCGCCAGCGAAAAUAGACUGCGAUUUCCAUCAAAUGCACACGUCUGUCCGUUUCGUCUAUCGAAACGUUCGGCUCUACACGCUUAACGCCAACUGUACGUGUACUUUGCCGAGUAUCGCGAAAAACGCUGCGCGGAUAAAACGUUUGAUCUUUACGCUUAUAAAAAGAAAAUGUUCGAAAAGAGAUUUUAGCGAGAGAAAGAGAAAAAGAGAGAGAGAGAGAGAGAGUAACGAGAAAACUGAAUCUCUGCAGGCAUACUUAGCAACAAUAAUGUUUUAAUAUAAUCUAAUAAUAAUAAUAAUAAUAAUAAUAAUAAUAAUAAUAAUAAUAAUAACAAUAAUAAUAACAAUAAUAAUAACAAUAUAUAAUAAUAAUAAUAAAACAAUAAUAAUCUAAAUAUUCACCGAUAAACACGUGAAUACUAAAGAGCAAAGAUAAUCAGCUAUUUGCAAAAUUUUGUUGAAGGAAGUCGUCGAGGGGAAGUUAAUUUUCGUUUAAAUUCUAAGUGGAGGUCAGAGGUCGCUAAGUCUCAAAGAAACCCCACGAUGGAUGAAGCGAUUAGAAUUGUUAAGAUGAAUAAACGAUUGUUAAUGAAAUAUUAUAUUCUUGUCGUUGGUUGGCUCACGUGUAAGCGCAGAGGCAUGAUUCAUCGUGGAAAACGCGAGGUUUAUACAGAUUUCCAGGCGGUUUUUGUUAUAAAACUGUCCGCACGAGGGAACACAUGACGCGUGUCUCCUUUUUCUUUGGUAAACCUCGUCCUGCUGCCAACAUCCGCCCUUUCAAUCACACACACCGUCGAGUUUAACGUUCAACUGGUAGAAAUGGGAGCCGUUGCGCUAAAAUUCGAGGAAACGUCGUUUGGAAAUGAAAGUUACGUCUGCUGAGUUAGAAAUCGUUUUAAUCCGAGAUAAUAAGCGCCAGCUAAACGACUCUUAUGAUAAUUGGUCCGUGAUACUCUUCCACUUCUAUCUCGUUGCUCAUGCAGAUGUUUUAAAUACAAUCAGAAUAAAAAUUCGACAGAAAUUAAACGACUCUUAUGGAAGUAUCCCUGUGCUAUGGUUCGUGUAUCAGAGGGAGAAAGAAAUAUUUACAUUUCAAGAUGUCGUUUUCUUCUUUAGACGUGACUUUAGUAUUUUAUGGAGGCACGUUAUGGCGAUCUAUAUACGUAAAUGUCUUUCUGGGAGGUCCACGAUCUAUUUCAGAAAACAUCACACGCUGCGUUCGUGGCGUCGAUUUCAUUCGCAUUUCGUAAAGAAAACCUGGUUAAUUACAAUUUCUUUAGUGAAAAAUAACAGUGUUAAAAAAUACGAUAUAAAAAUACGAUAUCGGUCAGAUCAAUUAAGAGCAGAUCAGUAAUUGCAUAUGAAAUUUACUAUUUUGAUGGAUGGAAUGUUACUCUUCUACUUUAUCGCGCCUUUCAUUACCAACUAUGACACUACUAUUACUACUACACUGCUACUAACAAGAAGAGAAAGAACAGAAGUUUCUUCGUUAUUUGACACCUGUAGUUUUCCAAAAUCUCGUUAUUUCUACUCAAUAUUAUACAUUUGAAAAUUAAACAAUUUUGUGCUUGUUUUAUUCUAUUCGUCUCUUUGUUCUAUUUAUUCUGUGUAAAAUUGACGACACCUAUAGUUUACCAAAAUCUCGUUAUUUGUAUUCAAUAUUACAUACUAGAAGAUUAAAUAAUUUUGUGCUUGUUUUAUUCUAUUCGUCUCUUCGUUCUAUUUAUUCUGUGUAAAAUUGACGACACCUGUAGUUUUCCAAAAUCUCAUUAUUUGUAUUCAAUAUUACAUACUACAAGAUUAAAUAAUUUUGUGCUUGUUUUAUUCUAUUCGUCUCUUCAUUCUAUUUGUUCUGUGUAAAAUUGACGACACCUGUAGUUUUCCAAAAUCUCAUUACUUGUAUUCAAUAUUACAUACUACAAGAUUAAAUAAUUUUGUGCUUGUUUUAUUCUAUUCGUCUCUUCGUUCUAUCUAUUCUGUUGUGUAAAAUUAACGUGAAAUUAAGGUAAAAAUAUACUGUUGUGCGCGCUGAGAGAACUGUGACCUAUGAAGUUUGUGAUAUACAGAAAAAUAAAAUCGACUUUGUUUAUUUAUGGCACCGUCACUGUUAAGGAGCGAUAUAUGAUAUAAAUAAUAAAUAAGUAAACGACUUUGGAAAUAA